rnacentral:rRNA from 1 species
UACAGAGGGUGCAAGCGUUAAUCGGAAUUACUGGGCGUAAAGCGAGCGUAGUCGGUUAUUUAAGUCGGAUGUGAAAUCCCCGGGCUCAACCUGGGAAUUGCAUUCGAUACUGGAUAGCUAGAGUCCGGCAGAGGGAAGCGGAAUUUCUGGUGUAGCGGUGAAAUGCGUAGAUAUCAGAAGGAACAUCAGUGGCGAAAGCGGCUUCCUGGACCAGAACUGACGAUCAGGCUCGAAAGCGUGGGGAGCAAACAGG